rnacentral:rRNA from 1 species
UACGGAGGGUGCAAGCGUUAUCCGGAUUCACUGGGUUUAAAGGGUGCGUAGGUGGAGUGGUAAGUCAGUGGUGGAAUCUCCAAGCUUAACUUGGAAACUGCCGUUGAUACUAUCAUUCUUGAAUAUCGUGGAGGUAAGCGGAAUAUGUCAUGUAGCGGUGAAAUGCUUAGAUAUGACAUAGAACACCGAUUGCGAAGGCAGCUUGCUACACGAUCAUUGACACUGAGGCACGAAAGCGUGGGGAUCAAACAGG